CAUGACGGUCAUAGCGGAGGUGCCACAUCCGAUCCCGUCCCGAUCUCGGAAAUUAAGCCCUCCAGCGAUGCCCUAAGUACUGCCUUUGGGUGGGAACAGGGCGACGCCGUCAGCC
rnacentral:rRNA from 1 species